rnacentral:rRNA from 1 species
GCGGGAAGAGCUCAAAUUUGUAAUCUGGCACUUUCAGUGUCCGAGUUGUAAUCUCGAGAAGUAUUUUCCGCGCCGGACCGCAUACAAGUCUGUUGGAAUACAGCGUCAUAGUGGUGAGAACCCCGUAACUGAUGCGGAUGCCCGGUGCUUUGUGAUAUACUUUCGAAGAGUCGAGUUGUUUGGGAAUGCAGCUCAAAUUGGGUGGUAAAUUCCAUCUAAAGCUAAAUAUUGGAGCAAGACCGAUAGCGAACAAGUACCGUGAGGGAAAGAUGAAAAGCACUUUGGAAAGAGAGUUAACAGUACGUGAAAUUGUUGGAAGGGAAACGCUUGAAGUCAGACUUGCUAUUCGGAGUUCAGCCGCAAGGUGUAUUCUUCGAUUCGCAGGCCAGCAUCAGUUUUUGGGGGUGGAAAAUCGCGGUUUGAAGGUAGCAACUUCGGUUGUGUUAUAGCUUUCCGCUGGAUUCAUCCUUGGGGACUGAGGAACGCAGUACGCUUUUUGCAAGGCUCUCGAGCUUUUCGUACUUAGGAUGCUGGUGGAAUGGCUUUAAACGACCCGUCUUGAA